GGUCCCAUGUGGCUCAGUUGAUAAGAGCGUGGCGCUGGCAACGCCAAGGUCAUGGGUUCAAUUCCUGCUGGGAUCG